rnacentral:rRNA from 1 species
CCUACGGGCGGCUGCAGUGGGGAAUAUUGGACAAUGGGGGCAACCCUGAUCCAGCCAUGCCGCGUGUGUGAAGAAGGCCCUCGGGUUGUAAAGCACUUUCAGUGAGGAAGAACGCCUGGUGGUUAAUACCCAUCAGGAAAGACAUCACUCACAGAAGAAGCACCGGCUAACUCCGUGCCAGCAGCCGCGGUAAUACGGAGGGUGCGAGCGUUAAUCGGAAUUACUGGGCGUUAAGCGCGCGUAGGUGGCUUGAUAAGCCGGUUGUGAAAGCCCCGGGCUCAACCUGGGAACGGCAUCCGGAACUGUCAAGCUAGAGUGCAGGAGAGGAAGGUAGAAUUCCCGGUGUAGCGGUGAAAUGCGUAGAGAUCGGGAGGAAUACCAGUGGCGAAGGCGGCCUUCUGGACCGACACUGACACUGAGGUGCGAAAGCGUGGGUAGCAAACAGGAUUAGAUACCCGGGUAGUC